rnacentral:rRNA from 1 species
CAACAACAGACUCGGUGAAAUUGUAAUUCCGGUGAAGAUGCCGGAUACCUGCGACAGGACGGAAAGACCCCAUGGAGCUUUACUGUAGCUUGACAUUGGGUCUUGGUACUACAUGUACAGGAUAGGUGGGAGGCUUUGAAACCAGGACGCCAGUUUUGGCGGAGCCAUCCUUGGGAUACCACCCUUGUAGUACUGGGACUCUAACCAUAGGCCAUGAAUCUGGUCUUGGGACACUGUCAGGUGGGCAGUUUGACUGGGGCGGUCGCCUCCCAAAAGGUAACGGAGGCGCUCAAAGGUUCUCUCAGUACGGUCGGAAAUCGUACGUAGAGUGUAAAGGCAAAAGAGAGCUUGAUUGCAAGACAUACAGGUCGAGCAAGGAUGAAAAUCGGACUUAGUGAUCCGGUGGUUC